GGGACCGGAGCUGAGGCAGGAAGAGCCGACGCCACAGUGGAGAAGGAGGAGGCUGGCGGCGGCAUCAGCGGGGAGGAGGCUGGCGCAGUAUGACCAGCAGAUCCGCCUGUGGGGACUGGAGGCCCAAAAACGGCUGCGGGAUGCUUCUUGUCCGCAUGAAAGGACUCGGGGCUGAAAUUGCCAAGAAUCUCAUCCUGGCGGGAGUGAAAGGACUGCCCAUGCUGGAUGACGAACGGGUAUCUCCAGAAGAUCCCAGAGCUCAGUUCUUGAUUCGUACUGGGUCUGUUGGCCGAAACAGGGCUGAAGCCUCUUUGGAGCAAGCUCAGAAUCUUAACCCCAUGGUGGAUGCGAAGGUGGACACUGCGGAUAUAGAGAAGAAACCAGAGUCAUUUUUCACUCAGUUUGAUGCUGUGUGUCUGACUUGCUGCUCCAGGGAUGUCAUAGUUAAAGUUGACCAGAUCUGUCACAAAAAUAGCAUCAGGUUCUUUACAGGAGAUGUUUUUGGAUACCAUGGAUAGACAUUUGCCAAUCUAGGAGAAUAUGAGUUUGUAGAAGAGAAAACUAAAGUUGCCAAAGUUAGCCAAGGGGUAGAAGAUGGGCCUGAUACCAAGAGUAAAACUUGAUUGUCUGAGACAACGAUGGUCAUAAAGAAGGUGGUCUUCUGCCCCGUUAAAGAAGUCCUGGAGGUGGACUGGAGCAGUGGGAAAGCAAAGGCUACUCUGAAGCGCACCACCUCUGGCCACUUUCUGCUUCAAGUGCUCCUCAAGUUCCGCACAGAAAAAGGAAGAGAUCCCAGUUCUGAUACUACGGGGAAGAUUCCGAGUUGUUGCUCCAGAUACGAAACGAUGUGCUUGACUCACUGGGUAUUAGUCCUGACCCGCUUCCUGAGGACUUUGUCAGGUACUGCUUCUCCGAGAUGGCCCCAGUGUGUGCAGUGGUUGGAGGGAUUUUGGCACAGGAAAUUGUGAAGGCCCUGUCUCAGCGGGACCCUCCUCACAACAACUUCUUCUUCUUCGAUGGCAUGAAGGGGAAUGGGAUUGUGGAGUGCCUUGGCCCCAAGUGAACCCAAGACUUGGCAGCCCCGGAGAUGCCAAUUGCAACAUGCCCGCCUGUAUUCCCUGUCCCCCUGCUUCAUGAAGGCAUCUCCCGGCAAGGAAAACUGAAGUCAUUGGCCCAAUACAAAACAUUU